GAUAAAAGGACAAAAACAAAGGGCCCCAUUUAGAAUCUUCCAUUUUUUUCAAUUCAUAGAGAGAACAAUCCACAUUUUUUCAUUUUUUUAAUCCACAGCUUCACACAUAUACACAACAGAUCACGCUAUAAAGGGGGAGAGCACUCCAUUUUCACGGAUACAGAAAACAAUACCUAAUUACACACACCAUAUCGUGAAAUUGGAGAGAUUGACAGAAGCACCAAUGUACCAUCACUCCAAAUACACGAAUCCACACACAGAUGCACACUCACAUUCACUCACACUCAUCGGAAUAUGCGCACACACACGGAUGAGGUAGACAAAGCUUGAAUCGAGGGAGUGGGAGAAAUCGAUUAAGAGAGAAGAUUGAGAAAUAAAGAAGAUCGAGAGAGAUAGAACUCGAGAGGGUCAAAACAGUGAGAAAAAGAGCAAAAAAUGGACUAAAAACUGGCCAUUUUUUAUUGAAUUAGUGAAUCGGCAAAAAAUUCGGCCACUGUUGAGAUUUACCUGCGGAGCUUUCACCUGAGUCAGUUUUUUGCAUAUCGAUUUGGUCGACCAGUCUAAAAUCCCAAAAAUCUCUCCGUUGUACUUAAUUUUUGGGUAUAUCCAGUCAGAAACACUGAGAUUCACCAAAAUCCGAUCUGCGGCGAUGAUUCUCGCCGCAUUCUGAGCUCGACGGAGCUCCAUCCAUACGUGUUUUUGGUUUUCAUGCGGAUUCGAGUUUCGAGUGUUCAUUACUCUUGGGUAGAUUUCCUGUUCGUGCCAUAUUUUUGGUUUUCGCGUUGAAGUUCGUUGAUUGAGGUUCUACUCGGAAUAUUCGAACGUGGACUCUAUCAAGCUUAAUCGGAGUAAUAUAUCGAUUUUUAAAGCAGCAUUGAGGUUCUAGCUCUGUGUACAAAGGCACACUACCAAGUGGAACUAAGGUGGCCAUAAAGGUUUUGGAUUUGGAAAAUGAUCAAGUAUGUAAGAGGUUUGAUACCAAAUGCAAAGUGAGAAGAAAUGUUAGACACAAAAAUCUUAUCCCUGUGGUUGCUACUUGUUCAAGUGACUAUAUAAGAGCCUUUAUUUUCCAAUAUAUGCCCUAGGGGAGUCUUCAGAAUUGGUUGCACAAAGAAGAGUCCGACUUGAACCUUCAAAGAGUCGCCAUAAUGGUUGAUGUGGCUGUGGCAAUUAAAUAUCUACAUCAUGGUCAUGCCACUCCAACAAUUCUUUGUGAACUAAAGCCAGCAAAUGUUCUUUUGGAUGAAGAUAUGGUGGCUCAUAUUAGUGAUUUUGGAAUCUCUAAAAUUUUAGCCAUAAGCAAGUCCAGGGCACAUACCAAAACCAUGGGCAUUUUUGGUUACAUUGCAUCAGAAUAUGGCUCAGAAGGAAAAGUGUCCACUAGUGGUGAUGAUUGUAGUUACGGCAUCAAGAUGGAGGUUUUGGCCGAAAGAAGGCCAAUAGAUGAAGAUAUAUGCAACAAAAUUCUAGACUUGAGGAAAUCUUUCCAGGGAACAUGAUGUACGUAGUGGAUGUCUAUCUUUUUUUUGAGGAAGAACAGAUCACUUCUAAAAGUGAAAUCUGCAUAGCCUCCAUGAUGGAAUUGAUCUUUAGACUGCACAAAGGAAACGGCAGAAUCAAUAAUAAUCAUGAAAGAUGUACUCAAGAGGCUUAACAAAAUCAAGAACACAUUUCUGGAAAUGUAGAAGUUACGCAUCUCUUCCGAUUGUGUUUUUUAUGAGCUCCAAGUUAAUGUUGCUUUUUGUUUACCUGAUUUCUUUAGUAAGUUGUGGAGCCUUGUACUGUUUUUACUUCAGAGUGUUGCCUUUCCCUCAUUUUGUGAUUUCAGAUCUGAGUUGUUUUGAA